GUGAGGCAGGUUCAAGGUGGAACAAAACUAUAGUCAACUAGUAAGAUUACAAGUAUAGCUGCUUAGGUAAUACUGCUUCAAUGAGAAAUCACAAGGUGGACAAAACUAUGAACAAUCAAUAAGUUUAGGACAAGUAUAGUUGCUUAGGUAAUAUUGAUUAAAUGGAGAUCCAAUGGGGAAGCACAUCACGAAGCAAGUGUACAAGGAGUGAGCAAGGCUUUCCAGUGGUAAAGGGUGGGUCAGGGAUCUUUCUUGGAAGAUCUUGGUCCCCUACCGAGGUGUUUGAUACUUAUUUAGAAUAUAAUCACUGCUAUUCAUUCUAUGGGGGUGUGGUAAUUUCUCUUCUUUUACAAUGAAUGCUGCCUUUCAGUGAAUGUGUCUAGAUUGUCCUUCAUGUUGGCUCUGCAAGGGCCGGGCCUGUCUAACUGCCUACAAGAUAUCUAAUUAACUUACCUAUCUACGAUAUUCCCCCCUCUGAAGAAAUACCCCUAACUGCUGUGAGGGAACAAAGGGCAAAGACUGUUCUGGCUACUUCCAGCUAAAGAGAGUCAUAGUUGUGAUCAGCAGUAAGAGUCUACAGAGGGUCUAUCUAAAGGCCCUCAAUAGAUGCUAGGCAUUGUUAUCUUGGGUAGGUGUAUAGCUUUGAGUGUGGAGGAGACAAAGCCAAAGAAACAGAGUCAUACUCUGACUGCUGAUCACAACUAUGACAAUACAUGGGCCAAAUAAUAAGAUCGGCAGGAUUGCUAUGAAUAUAGCCAACAAGCGUUUCUACCAGGAAGAACUAAUAAUAGCCUCCCACAAAGAGAACAUCCAAGGGACUUCAGAAUCCUACAUAUUGUAAUUUAGCAGUUAUGAGUUAUUUACAAGGUCGAUCUGGUGGAUCCUGGUAAAAGAAGUCUAGCACAUUUGUCAUUAAUUCCAUUUGUAUGACUGCUUGGAGUUUGGCAGCCUCUAGGCAAGAAUAAAGAAAAUUUUAAAGAUAUUAGAGCAUGUAUAAUCUGAGCCUGAGCACUAGAAUGGAAAGGGAGGUUGGGGAAAGAGUCAUGCUUAGAAACUGAAAUAGUGAGUGAUUGUCUUAGAUUCCUUUACUGAUGAAGGUUAUCUAUAAGUCUGAUAUUUUGUCAUAGGUCUCUCCAGUCUUAGCUGUAAGAAGAUAGAGACAAUUUGAAGGACAAAUUUAGCUAAGAAAUUUAAAACUCUAGUUGAGCUCUUACAGAUUUUACUGUAGUUUUCCCCUAAUGAGCCAUAGUUGUUGAACACCCAGAAGAGAAGUUCCUCUGGUGUCCAGCAAUCUCCCUACUCAGGAGGUUGGGUGACUUGAAACAAAAAGUUACAAUCUAUGAAGCAAAAAGACCAAAGUUAGAACCUGUGAAAGAAAACUCUUACCUCUGACCAGUAAUCUUGGAGGAAAACCUUCAAAAUGAUAAUAGGGGGAAGAGGUGCAACUCCCAAACCUGCUAGAUAUCUGAAGUGCGAGCUCAUGUUCUCUAAAAUCAAAGAAUGAAUUCUAGGAACAACGGAGAUUAAAAGUAGGAAAAAUUUAUUCAGAGAAAGAUAGCUUCUGCCUAAGAGAGAAAGAAGGGGGACCAGAAAGAGGGUUACACCAGCCCUAGGCUUUUUCAUCAAUGUAUAUUUACUGACUUUUGGAAGGAUCUGUUUUUUACUAUCAGUUAAAUUAGGUCAACAGGUAUGCUAAAACUCUCCCACUACUAAUGAAUUUAUUUGUUUAGUUCUGACUGUAUUUGCUUUAUCUGUUUUUAAUGGUUGUUCAGUGCCCACACAUUUAGAAUUGCCUUAUCUUCUAGUACCUAGUUUUGAUCCUUUUAUUGUAGAUAGGUAAGUUAAUUAUAUAUUUUUUAGGCAGGUAGACAGGGCCUCCCUUAAGGUGCCAGCCCUCCAGGAGCCAAGACAGGGAAGAGCCAACAUGGAGAACAAUUGAGGCACAUUCACUGGCUAGCAUUAUAAAAAGAAGAGGCACUACUUCCCUUAGAGAUAGAGAGCAGUGAUUGAUAUUCUAAAUGGGAAAUUCCUUGCAUGUGACUUGUCUUCCCAUUUGAUCUUACUGGUUGGUAAUGGUUUUGUCCCAUCUCAUGCCAACCUUGUAAAUUUCAUUGGGUCUUAUAGUUUUGUCCCACUUUGUACUCAUCUCAUCAUGUGGCUUUGCUGUAUAAAACGUCUUUGAAAUGUGGGGUGGGCAGGCAACCCCCUUUCUGGUCCCCCUUCUGUCUCUCUUAGGCAGAAGCUUUCUUUCUCCCAAUAAAUUUUUCCUACUCUUAACCUCUGUUGUUCAUAGAAUUCAUUCUUCAAUUAUAGAGAAGACAAACUCGCAUUUCAGAUAUCUUGUAGGUUUGGGAGUUACAUCUCUUCCCCCAUGUCACUUUCAUCUUUAAGAAAUCUUUCCUUUUAUCUCUAAUCAUGCUUCUUUUGGUUAGCAUUUCAUCAUAUAUCUUUUUUGUUCUCUUGCUUUAAAUUUAUCUUCAUCUUUAUGAUUAUGAUGUCCACUAUAAUCAGACAUUAGUGUAACUAAGAACUUUUCUUGUAAUUCUGUAGGAUAUUUGAAGCACCAUGAGACACUAAUAUUACUAUUAUUUUAUACAGUAUUUAUUUGUGUUUACUGACAUGUCACCCUUUCCAUUGCUUUUCAUUCAUUAUUACAUAGUCAGGCUUCCAAAUGAGAUCAUAUCCCCUCUAUCUGAAGUUCUGUGUAUUAUAGUUUGGAUCCUCAACGUUCCCUAAAGGUCUUAUGCUAAAGGCUUCUUUGCCAUCCUGUGGUGCUAUUGGGAGACAGUGGAACAGUUAGGAUGUGGGGCCUACUGAGAGGAAGGAGGGUAGAUCUUUGGGGGACAUGCCCUUUGAAGGGGAUAGUAGGACCUCUAUCCCUUCUUCUCACUCUCUCUGCUUCCUGGCCACCAUGAGGUGGCCACUCUACACUGUGCUUGCUACUAUGGUGCUCCACUCUACACUGUGCUUGUUACUCUGGUGCUCUGCCUCACCAUGGGUCUAAAGCCAUAGGGCCAACAAGCAACCAUGUACUGAAAUCUCUGUAACCAUGUGCCAAAAUAAAUGUUUCCUCCUUAGAAGUUGUUUAUCUCAGGUAUUUGUCCCAACUACAGAGAGCUGAUUAAUAUACCACCUUUGACUUUGGUAUUGUUCUACUGGUGAUUAAUUCUCUUAGUUUUUAUCCAAUACAUAUUUUUAAACUGAAUUUUUAAGGAAUUUCUUUUCUGUGUCUUGACUUUAAGGCUGCUACUAUUUUCUUUCAGCACCUUGAAGACAUUCUAUUUUCUUCUGGUUUCUGGAACAGAGUCUCUCUAUGUUGUCCAGGCUGCCCUCAAGAUCACCAUCCUCCUGCUUCAGCCUCUCAAGUGCUGAGAUUAUUUGCAUGUGCAAUUCCACCCAGCUCUGUUAGGUUGCCACUCCCAAAUCAGUCAGCAUCUGAGAAGACUGGAGAGGAUAUGCGGAACAUGAAGUCACCUCGGCACCUUUCUUCUCCCUGAAACGGAGAGACAACAAAUCUGAUACAAAGCAGUUCAUGCCGCCAGAAGAACAGAAAUAGAAGAAGUACAAUGGACCACCAAAAAGACCAAAGCCACUGCACCUCAAGAACCUGUUUUAGCCUACCUGUGUGGAGCAACGCAGAGUUGUCUCACCCUCCAAUUGCCUGGUGUCUGCAUUGAGCUCCAAGAGCAGUCAGCGUGGAUGACUGCUAGAUAGGAUUCCUGGCACAUGACAAGAGAACUUGGUGGAUGAAGUCCAUGCAGUCAGCUCCUUCUCACCAGACAGAUCUCAGCCCAAAGGCCCCUCCUGAGAGCAGCCACCCUGGACUCCUCUCUGUCUCUGGUCCUCCCUCAUGUACCUCCUCUAACACAGUCUGAAACAACCUCUCUUAUUCAACAGGUUAUUCAUCUAAUGAAUGUAACCCUCGCACGGCACCAUGACCCCUGCCACUGCCACAUAAAAACAAGGACCUUGACCUUUUCAUUCCCACAGUAUGUAUUCAGGUGCCUCCUAUAGUGCCUGACACACUCAGGCAUGCCACACUGAUUUGUUGCAUAAAUGAACAAAAAACUAAACAAAUGAUAAAAUCACAAAAGAGUACAUACAGAAGCACGCAAAGGUAAAAAUCCUACGAGGACCAUCUUUCUCACAAGGUCUUGGCAAACAGCACAGUCCUUCUUUUCUUCACUCUUUCUCUCCUCUCAGCUCUACCACCUUCCCCACACUCUGACCACUGUCACAUCUUCCAGAUCCUACCUUUUUCCUCAAAAAUUUCACCCAUCUCCACAACAAGCUCAUCACUUUGUCCAUUCUUAGGGAAUUGAUCAAUGCCUUCAGUGUCUUCCAGGCAGGCACCAUGGCUUUCUUUGCUCUGUCUGAGCUGCUAGAGAGGGAAGUGGUCAGAGUAGAGUCCCACAAAUGAGGGUGAAUAUAACUGUCCCAACUCCAAUUGAGUCCCUGUCCACACAGCUGUUUCUCUGUACUAAGAGAUAAUUUUCCUGGCUCUGUAGAGUCCAAGCUCCUGUGUAGCGAAAGCUUCUCAUUUCUUUUGUGAGCAUGAUCUGUGCCAGACCUUUAAGAACAAUCCUUUCUUAUUCACCAUUCAACCUUGGUGCUAUUUCAAAAGACAGUACAUUUGACAUUCACUGUAUUUCUAAAGGAUGGCACCAGCUUCCCCAAGUCAGUUUCCCUAGCUCUCUGACUCUAGUUUUCUGAUAAAAGGUAAAGAGGGCCUGCUGGCCCAUUCUACCACUUGUAGCCAGUGUCAGGCCUCAGGACUAGAGUGUGCUGCUGCCUCGGUCCUUCCACUGACAUUGCAUGGUCAGUCUCCACUUUUGAAACUUUUUUUAUCUCUUCCAUGAUGUCUCAUUGCUGUGAGGACAAAAUGCAAUCCUCUGAGGAAUCUGGAUGCCUGCCUCUUCAGCCUUUUCUCACCUACGCCUCCAGCCAAGCUUUACCAAGCUUUUUUAAUUUCCUCAAAAGCAUUCAGUCUGAUUUCAUUUAGGAGCCAUUGCAAAGAGCAUCCACCUUACCUCAGCUGACUUUCUUCUCAUCCUUCAGAACUGUUUAUUGGCCCCUUUCUCACAAAGUAUGCCCUUCCCCCAGGAUGUACUGAGAACCUGAGAACCACCCAGAAUAAGCUUAUUAUAAUAAAUUAUAAUAAUCUGUUAACAGAUCUACCUCCCCAGCUAGGCCACAGUGAUGGGGGGGGGUCAUCAAUGUUUUUUGUUCAUUAAUGUAUUGACUUGUUUGUGUCUGUCUCCCUCAACGGUAAUGACCUUGAUGAAAUCAGGAACAAUAUUUUUUGUCCACUGUUAUAUUCUCAAUGUGCAGCAGAGCAGCUGGCACAUAGUAGGGCCAAAGUUCAACACAGCCCCAUUUUUAUCUCAUCACCACCUAACUUCCACUGAACACUUUGUGUGAGUUGGCUCUGUGAUAAGCAUUUAUAGACUAAGUCAUUUAAUUCUCACAGUCAAUGUAUGAGAUAGGCAUAGUAGUCCCCCUUUAUCCACAGGGAACACAUUCUAAGACCUGCAAUGGAUGCCUGAAACCUACAACAGUACUGAUCCCUGUAUAUGUAUGGGUGGGUAUUUAUAUAUGUAUACAAUACAUAUAUGGUUUUGUAUACAUAUAUGUAUGUUUUUUCCUAUACAUGCAUACUUAUGACAAACUUUCACCUUUUUACUUAAAUGCCUUUAUGGCUUCUCUUUGACAUAUCUGAAUUGCCAGCAUAACUAACCUUGUACUUUGAGACCAUUCUUCAGCAAAAUAUGAGUUACCUGAACACAAGCCCUGCAAGACUGCAGCAGUCAAUCUGAUAGCCAAGAAAGUUACCACCUAGGGGCAGUAGUGGAUAUAACAUGGAAAGACUGAACAAAGGGAUGAUACAUGUCCUGGGUGAAAUAGAGCAAGAUGACACAAGAUUUCAUCAAACUAACCAGAAUGGUGCAUGAUUUUAAAACUUAUGAAUUAUUUAUUUUUAGAAGUUUCCAUUUAAUAUUUUUGAACCACGGUUGGCCAGGAGUAACUAAAACCAAUAUAAGAGAAGACUUCUGUACUCCCAUUGUAUGAAGUAGGAACUAUUAUCAGCCCCAUUUUACAGUCAAGGACAACAGGGCACAGUAGCUCAGCCAAAGCACAGACAGAAAGUUCUAGAAUCAUAAAGGCUUUCAAACUCAGGUAACGUGGCUCCAGCACCUUAACCCAUACUCCAUACUGUCCUUAUCACAACAUUUAUUGCAUGUGCUGUAGGUGCCUCUUCCCCGGAAGAAAUGAACCAAGAACUAGCCUUUUAGUUGCUCAGCUAAUAUCAUCCACCAGGUGGCAGUCACAGCUCCCAGAUAAAAUGCUGUUACGUUGUAUCGCUCCGUACCUCCUUCCCUCCUGUGAGAAACUCGAUUUUUUUGUUAUUACCAAGAGGUGAGCAGUCUGGAUUCAAAGCACAACUUUCUGAUUGAGCUUUUUGAAGAUGGAACUUGGAGAACGUGCUUGUCCCAUCCGCCGCGUACAUACACUAUGCGGCAAGUGGCCCAGGCUACUGGGCACCAGAGCGGGUGGAGAACCAGGACACCCCUAGUGCACUGCACAGAAUACAGGAUCCUCUGUGUAAGAUGUAAUUUCAGUCCACAGAAGAGAUGAUUUGCUCCUCCCUCCCCCACUCCUCCUCAAGCAGCUGCUAGAGCUGAGGGGAAAACUAAAACAUACUUAUUCCUAGUCACGAUUCCAUUUGGCCAGUGGCAGGCGUGGGGACAUAGGGUUCCCUGAGGAAAUAUCCUCAGAUGACUGUUAGUGAAGGGCCCUCCCAUGUCAUCUGUGGCUGAAAUGCUUUUCCUUCGCCUGCUGCUGCUUGGAAGAAGUAUGAUUCCAAGUGGGGAUCAGGGGUUGGAUGGUCCUUCCUCAUAAGUUACCCCAACUUUCACAGAGCUAGCCCCAGGACUUACUUAAGAAGGAAAGUGGCCCAAUUCCAUGGGAGGGUGAGAGGCAAAAUGUGUUCUUUAGAAUGAAGAAAUUGUCAUAUUAGUUCAAACAAAUGCAUGUUGUUUUAACCCUCAAAAUGUAAUAUAACAUAGUUGUAAUGUAACAUAAUUGGGUUCUUUAUGUUUCAGUCAGAGGAUAUGAUAAUGGUACCCAAGUCUAAAGGUGCCUGAGAGCUAAAUCUGUUCUCAGUCAAAUCAGUGAACCUCUAAGGCCAUUGCUCAACUUCAAGAUAAUAUCUACUGUCUCCAUCUUCAGCCUUUGGGAAUAGGAAAAUCCUGGCACCACAGUAACAAGACCAACACUUGAGUUAGGACUGAAUGGAUGAGAGGAUCCAUCCCUGUGGGGAGCUGAGAAAUGAUUCUCUAGAUCUGGUAGCAAGAAAAUUGAACACCCUACCCCUGUACCCUGCCCCUACUCCUCUGCUGCCUCACCACCACUAAACCAACAUGACCAUGUGUUUGACUCCUAGUUUUUUAGCUCAGUUUCCUCUAAAGUGUUUCCUGUGUAAUCAUUUCUAACUCAUUUUCCUCCCAUAACCUCUCUUCAAAUUAAAAUAAUGCAUAAUGAGAAUUAGAGUCUGUGCAGUGUUUCUGAACACCAAGCACUACUUGUUAAAUCAGAGUGCACUUUCAAACAAGCAAAGAAUUUUAAUGAGACUUCAGAGGACAGGGAGGGAACUGUACUAAAAGUCUCUUUGUAAUCAAUAUCCUUCUUCUUCUGUGUGUCCAAGGAGGAUUAGAAUGCAUUGUUUGCUUCUAUUUCAUGAAGGUUUUGUCUUUGCUAAUGGUUUCCAAGGGAAAAGGAUUAGUAAUGCGUUGUACAUUGUAUUUCUUCCCAAAAUAGUAGAGCACGAGGGAUUUUGCCAACACCCAGUUGGUUCACAUGUGUCUUCCUCACUGCCCGUGUUUCCUCCAACUUGCCUGAAUGCUGCUGUCAUCAUCUUGGCUCAAUUCACCAUAAUCCACCAAAAUACACCAAUAUUACCUACCAAGACUACUGCUUUCACCUCCUAAAUUGUUCUUCCACCCACCCCACAGUCAGGUCUCUGCACAGUUGCCAGAGUGAUCACAAAUCAGUUCAUAUCCCUCCCUUACAGCUUUCUGCAGUGGCUCUCCCUAAACCAAACUGAAAAUGAAAUUGUUUAGACUUACAAUCAGAGCUCAAAUUAUGAAACUACUAGAAGAAAACUUAAAGGAAAUGUUUCAUGGCUUUGGACUGAGCGAGGAAUUUUUGAGCAAGAUCUCAAAUACCAUGGCAACAAAAGCAAAAACAGACAAGUGGGAUGAUAUCAAACUUAAAACCUGCAUAGCAAAGGAAAUACUCAGUGUGAAGAGACAAACUUCAGAAUGGGAGAAAGCUUUUGAAAUAAUAUACAAUGAUAAUUAGUUAAUAUCUAUGGUACACCAGGAAACAACCUACUUAAAAAUGGACAAAAGACCUGAGAAAACAUCUCUUAAAAGAAGACAUACAAAUGGUCAGUAGAUGUAUGAAAAAUGCCAACAUCACUAAUCAUCAGGGAAAAGCAAAUCAAAACUACAAAAGGAGUUAGAAUAGCUAUUAUAAAGGAGGGGAAAAUGUGGAGAAAAGAGAAACCUUGGGAACUGUUGGUGGAAAUGUGCUAAUAUAGCCACUGUGGAAAACAGUAUAGAGACUCCUCAACAACCACAAAAUUAAAAAUAAAGCUGAAAUAAAAUCUUAAGUCUCCACCCUAGCCAGUAAGAGGCUUAUGUGAUGCCUCCAUCUCACUCAGCUCUGCUCCUGCCCCACCCUCCAGCCCAGCCCCACUGCUCUUCAUGCAUACUGAUCAAGCUCUGUCUUGCCUCAGUACUUUUGCACAUGCUAUCUGCUCUGCUCAGGAUACUUUCCUCAGAUUUCAGCAUGGCUUGUUUAGUCUAAUUAUUCAGAUUUCACCUAUCAGAGAAGCCAUCUUUCAACUCCAAGUUAAAGUAGACAUACUGCUUCCUAGUUUUCUCCAGACUGUCCAAUUUUAUUCUCCUCACAAUACCUACCAUUAACAUUUUCUUGUUUAUAGGGAUGUCUACUUGCUAAUUGUUUGAUUUUUCCUUCCAGAAUGGAAAUGCAAAGAGGAAAAAGACUGUUCUGAUUUUGUUCCCACAAUAUCCCAGAGACCAGGACAGUGCAAAUUCUUCUUUUGUGUGUGUGCAAAUUCUUAUUAGGUGAAUGAUUAAGCGAACAAGAAAAUUACCCGAUGUAAUUCCUUUCUGCAGGUUGACAACUUUGGCUAACAGUUAUCAAGUUCAAAAUUC
ensembl:lncRNA